CAAAAAGAUUAAUCAAGUGCAUAAUAAAUGAUCUCUCCAGCUUGAUUUGAUUAAUUUAUUGCAUUAAUUUCUAGACCUCAGAUGAAAAGUUCAAUCAACUGUAUUCUGAUCGGAUUAUCAAGCUUUGAUCUAAUCCUGAUCACUACCUCGAUACUCAUGUUUGGAAUCACUCCUAUCUAUCACUACUCUGGGCUAAAUGGGGAUGGGCAAGCCUUAUUUUCCACCUAUACAGAGGAGGUCUUCCCUUACAUAACACCAAUCGUUUAUCCGGGCUAAGAUCUAUGUUCUUGUUAUUCUUCUCCUAUCCAUCUCCUACAACCUUCCGAGGUGCUGGGAGGUGACCUGGGGUGUUUUCUAUAACGCCGAACAGGA